rnacentral:rRNA from 1 species
GCGUGCAGGACGAAGGCUUCGGGUUGUAAACUGCUUUUGUACGGAACGAAAAAGCCUUGGUUAAUACCCAGUGUCCAUGACGGUACCGUAAGAAUAAGCACCGGCUAACUACGUGCCAGCAGCCGCGGUAAUACGUAGGGUGCAAGCGUUAAUCGGAAUUACUGGGCGUAAAGCGUGCGCAGGCGGUUAUAUAAGACAGAUGUGAAAUCCCCGAGCUUAACUUGGGAACUGCAUUAGUGACUGUAUAGCUAGAGUACGGCAGAGGGGGAUGGAAUUCCGCGUGUAGCAGUGAAAUGCGUAGAUAUGCGGAGGAAUACCGAUGGCGAAGGCAGCCCCCUGGGAUAACACUGACGCUCAUGCACGAAAGCGUGGGGAGCAAACAGGAUUAGAUACCCUGGUAGUCCACAACCUAAACGAUGUCAACUAGUUGUCGGGUCUUCCUUGACCUUGCGUACCGCAGCUAACGCGUGAAGUUGAC